GAUGAACGCUGGCGGCGUGCCUAACACAUGCAAGUCGAGCGAACAGACGAUGAUCUUGCUCCUCUCACGUGUGCGGCGGACGGGUGAGUAACACGAGUAUAACCUACUUAUAUUACUGGGAAAAUCUCGGGAAACCGGAGCUUAUACCGUAUAAUCUACUGAAGCGUAGUGUGCAAUAGUGAAAGACGGCUUUUGUGUCUCUUAUCGAUGCUUCCGCGCCGUAUUAGCUAGUUGGUGAGGUAACGGCUUACCAAGGCAACGAUGCGUAGGCGACCUGAGAGGGUGAUCGGCCACACUGGAACUGAGACACGGUCCAGACUCCUACGGGAGGCAGCAGUAGGGAAUCUUACGCAAUGGGCGAAAGCUUGACGGAGCAACGCCGCGUGAGUGAUGAAGGUCUUCGGUUCGUAAAGCUCUGUUAUUAGGGAAGAACAAAUGUGUAAGUAACUAUGCACGUCUUGACGGUACCUAAUCAGAAAGCCACGGCUAACUACGUG
rnacentral:rRNA from 1 species